GAUGAAAACUAAUUGCUGAUUGUCAAAUAAAGGUAUAAAACUGCAAAAUGGUAAUAAUAAUAAUAAUAAUAAUAAUGCUCUGGAAUGUGUCUUUCCCUCAGCUAAUUGCUGCUCUGGCUUACAAAUACAUGUGUUUGUGCAUUGUUUACACAC